GGUCUCGCUAUGUAGUUUAGGCUACCCUGAACUCACUGUGUAGACCAGGCUGGCCUUAAACUCCAGGUGAUCCUCCUGCCUCAGCCUCCCCAGUGCUGGGAUUACAGGCAUGUGCCACCAUGC
rnacentral:miRNA from 1 species